GACAGAGGGUGCAAACGUUGUUCGGAAUUACUGGGCGUAAAGCGCGUGUAGGCUGCUCAGCAAGUUGGAUGUGAAAGCCCUGGGCUUAACCUAGGAAGUGCAUUCAAAACUACUGAGCUGGAGUCCUGGAGAGGAAGGCGGAAUUCUCGGUGUAGAGGUGAAAUUCGUAGAUAUCGAGAGGAACACCGGUGGCGAAGGCGGCCUUCUGGACAGUGACUGACGCUGAGACGCGAAAGCGUGGGGAGCAAACAGG
rnacentral:rRNA from 1 species